ACAUGCAAGUCGAACGCAGUAGCAAUACUGAGUGGCAAACGGGUGAGUAUAAUGUGGGAAUCUGCCUUUUGGUUUGGAAUAACACGGGGAAACUUGUGCUAAUACCGAAUAAGCCCUUACGGGGAAAGUUUUAAUGCCGAAAGAUGAGCCCGCACUUGAUUAGCUAGUUGGUAAGGUAAAAGCUUACCAAGGCAACGAUCAAUAGCUGUUCUUAGAGGAAGACCAGCCACAUUGGGACUGAGACACGGCCCAGACUCCUACGGGAGGCAGCAGUGGGGAAUCUUGCACAAUGGGGGAAACCCUGAUGCAGCGAUGCCGCGUGAGUGAAGAAGGCCCUUGGGUUGUAAAACUCUUUCGUCGGGGAAGAAAAUGACUGUACCCGAAUAAGAAGGUCCGGCUA
rnacentral:rRNA from 1 species